AUUCGUCGCCAACGAGAAAUUGGGGUCGGCCCGAAAGCUCUAGAAUGCACCCCUCUUCCUCCCCGGGGCCUUCCACCUCCGCGAGUUUUAUGACUUAAAAAAGCCCACAGGCUGGUCUGAAGAGGAAGACAAACAUAAAGAUGAAGUGCUUAAUUCAAGGUCACACAAUGUCGGGGAUGGACCUCCAGAUUUCCUUACUGACCUGCAUUAUCUUGUGGAUACCUGAGUGAAUUCCACACCACCCAUUUUAUAGAUGAAACCACUGAGACAUGGAGCAAUUGACUGAGUAGUCACUGCCCCACCCCUGCCUGGAGCCUCACACAUGACUCGCCUCCUCUCAGUGACCACAGGAAAACAAGCUCAGGGCUCCCACUGAUUGUACAUUAUGAGACGGAGUCUUGCUAUGUUGCCCAGGCUGGUCUUGAACUCCUCACCUCAAGCGAUCCUCCCGUCUUGGCCUCCCAAGUGUCAGGAUUACGGGCAUGUGCUAUCACACCCAACCUGAUACAUUGCCUUUAUAAAUUUUUUUUUCUUUAUUCUAAAAACCAGAAAAAACAAAACUGGAUACAUGUGCAGAACAUGCAGGUUUGUUACAUAGCUGUACGUGUGCCAUGGUGGUUUGCUGCACCUAUUGACCUAUCCUGUAAGUUCCCUCCCCUCACCCCCACCCCCCAACAGCCCU
rnacentral:lncRNA from 10 species